UUUGUUUGAAGAUGAUGUAAUGCUAGUCAGAUGAGAGCACCAGUUGAGAUCAUGUGUGAUUGUAAUGCUUAAUAUUUGAAUGAGUCGACACUGUGAAUGAGGAUGUUGUCAAUUGCCAAAGGAAGGGUAUAACGAUUACGGAUGCGGGAAAUUAACAUGGAUUUGCAUUUAUGAGGAUUUAGCCAUGAACCACUUGCCACACCAUUUAACGUUAUUUAGGUCAUUCUGCAAUUAGAUGUGGUCGUUAUUCCUAACGAUAGAUCGACGUAGGACGCAAUCAUCGGCAAAAAUUUGAAUAUUAGAUGAUACAUGCAAUGGUAGAUCGUUUAUGAAUAUUAAAAAUAAGAGGGGAGCUAAAACGGAACCCUGGGGGACGCCUAAUGUUACUGGUAGAAUUUUAGAAGCAGUAUUGUUAAUAAUGACAGAUUGUGAUCGGAUAACUUAUGAUUGUGAAUGAGUGUAGAUAUUCUGAGUGGUG
rnacentral:lncRNA from 1 species